rnacentral:lncRNA from 7 species
CCUCCUCUGUCCCACAGUUGUGCCCGGGACCAGCAGUGUCUCUGACAACAGCAUCAUAAUGAGCUGAAUCUCUGAAGCUACAAACUGCUGGAUGCCUCUCUGGAUAUGUAAUCCCUGCACUUGGAACCCAUUGGAUGAUGCUUGGAGUCCUUUAGAAGACUUUAACAUGGUUUUGGAAAGGAAGAGCUGGAGGAGAUUCAGCCAUAAAAAGCUGGAUGGAGGCUGAAGAGUGCAACGUGCCUGGGAACUGUGAGACAGGAUCAGCAGCCAGCUUUGAUCAGGGAAGAUGAAUUUGAGAGCAGAUUCUUUCAUAGCAACUCAGAACAGGGAUUUGGCACCUCCCGAUGAAUUGGGGGAGACGGACUUUUGCUGUGACCCAUUCCAUGAUCACAGUUCACUUGUGAUCCUUUGUAUUGAGUUAUGCUGCAUGUUGGCAGCAGUUCUUGUCCUUAAAAGAACACAACCAAAAUAAAGAUCAGUUGCCUUGCCUUUUUAACUGUAACUAAUUGCUAAUGUUGUUACAGUGGAAAGAAUACUUUAAAACUGAGUUGGACCUUUGUAUUUUAAUUGACUGACUUUUGUGUUUCACCUGGCUUGCUCAGAAAUCAGAAUUGACUUUGCUUACUUUUUCUGUUCAGAAUCACUUUCUGGCUGUUUGCCCAGACCAGAAGAGCCCCAGGCUCUUCAAUACUGAAUGCAGACUGAAAGUGGGGCCAAACUAUUCUCUAAAAUGUUCUGCUUUGAAUAAAGAGAUGGCUGUAAUUGAC